CAAUGGUUGAGGAGGCUUUGAAGAUCAAUCCGGUGAUAGGAGCCGUGGCCGAACAGGCGAGACAGAUCCUCCAGGAGGAUAGAUGGGAUGUGUUCGGCAAGAGUAUUGCCCAGCUGUCGGCUGUCGCAUAUCAAGACGAACUGGAGCUCAUGGAGCACGCAGGAAAGAUCCUACUCAAGAUCGCGGCAGACGCGAAGACAGCUGGAACUGAUUGAAAACCCUCCUUCGGAGCUCUUCGGACGCAGCUUGUCCCUCGACGAUUCUCCUAACCAUCUUGUGGAUUCUGGGGAGAGGACAAGGACAAGAUUGCAUUAUUAUUUUAAUUAUGUCAACCCGAUUGAGAUCCAGAGAUAAGUUAUGGCUUCCCAUCUUAGACCACAACUCAGCUCUUUAUCUGCAUAAAAGAAACACCACCCGCCAGAUUAAAUUCACUUAAAUUCCAUCAUUUGUAUUAGGUCAAUGAAACUGCAUACAUAACAAGCUUAGACAUUUCCUCGAAUA